UCGGUUGAAUGGUUUGCUUUUCGGAAAUUAAACAAUUUCCGGAUUUUCUGGAACUUUUCCCAGGAAAUUCCCGUACCAUUUGACCCCGUUUCGAAAAUUUUGGAAAUUUUUGGCGAAUGGAAAGCGCCCCUUAUCGGCCCCUGUCUUUCCCGCGUUUCCUUGACGCAAGAGAGACUGGGAACGAAAGAGAAACACAACAUGGCUGCCGAAGCUUCGAGCCGGUUAAAAUCUUAUUUUUUCGCCAAACAAUCGAUGAAGAGACUACCUUUGGUAUUUUUAGCCUUUCAUAACGUAUUUUCUGUUGUGUAUUUGUACCUCAAUGCAAGAAUUAUGCCUUCAGCAGGCUACAAAACACAUAAAAUGGGGACCACGUUGACUGACCUUCGCAAAUGAACAACAGCCGGAUAGGAAGCUGAAAUGCUAAACUGCUAGGCAAUGAACAAGAAUGGACAGACAGUGGACAAACCAGGAUGGCACACUGGAUACACCUAGAUGGACAUGGACAGUGGACGAACACGAAUACACAGUGGACAAUUUUGGACACAUGGUGGAAAACUGGAUGAGCAUGAGUGGACAACUCUGGCUGGACAGUGGAAACCAAAAACAUUCAGACCUUGAGCAACCAGGAUGUUGGACGAGACAGAAAGCACCAGAGGACAGCACAGACUCAGAGGCCAGGAAAAAGACAAGAGUGCAGGCACCAAAGAGGAUGCUUAAAGAGUCAAGCUACCUAGUAGACAAGUUGACAAGAUGGCUAAUGGUAUCAUAAGUACUUUAUUUAAUUAGAAUAAGUUGGCCCUGCCCGGGAGGCCUUUGAACGCGGGGUACAGCUGGCCCGGGGUUUUCCUCCAAGGAGCAAGUGGACGUACGGGGAGGUUUUUCACCCAGCUGUUGUUCCACAACCCCUGUUCAGGUUAGCUGGUUAUUUCUUUAGCUUGACAUAGUCUUCAACUAGACUCUUGUAACUAGUUGAUUCUUUGUAAACUGCUUGCACUGGUUUGGAGCAAGUAAGACUGAGGAAAAACCUUUCAUACAGUCACUAACUUAGUAGAACAAACACCUUUUGACUGAUACCAACAACAGGUGACCUUUUCAUGACCUCAGCAAACCAAUCAACAAACUUUCGCUUCAAAAAGACCCAGCAUAAACUUGACUAACAAUAGAUGGAUUGAAACGGAGAACAUCUGACACCAACAACUACUACAUGUAACACCUUUCAAAUGACUUAUUCAUGACCUAAACAAACCAACAAACUUUAACUUCAAACAGGACCAACACAAACUUGACUUACACUAGAUGAUGUGACACUUCACAACAUCUAAUACUGACAACUUUACACCUCACAGAUGACUUACCUAUGACCUCAACAACCCAACCAACAAACUUUAACUUCAAACAGAACCAGCACAGACUUGACUAACAACAGAUGGAUUGAAACUGACAACAUUUAUCUGACAUCACCAAUUACACACUUAUACUGUGCCUUUAUUACUUAUUCAUUACUUAUUUAUUACUUAUUCAUGACCUAAACAAAGCAACCAGCAAACUGAACAUUAUUUUGUAACUUCAAACAGAACCAGCACAAACUGCAACAACUUCUGACAAAAACGACUACUUACACCUUACAAAUGACUUUUUCACGACCUCAUCAAGCCAACCAACGAGCUUUAAUUUCAAACAGAACCAGCACAAACUUGACUUACAAUGGAUGGAUUGAAACUGACAUCUGACAUCAACAACUACUUGCACGUUUACAAAUGAUUUAUUCCUGAGCUGGACAAACCUAAAAAACUAGACCUGACUUCAGCACUUCAAUUGAAUCCUAGGAUACUGUCAUUGACACUGCUACACUGCAGGCUUAACUACCAACUAACAAACUCUGUACCACAAUCACCAAAUUGAAUACUUUACAGACUACAGUAACUGAACAAACUGCAUACCAAUGCAAGGAUUAGCAUUGAGUCAGAUAAUAUUAUCUAAUGCUACAUAAGUGUGUGUGCCACCAUUAUUCAAAUAAGUGCUUUUUCUGAAAGGAAAAUUAUCUCCAAACAUUUUGGUACUAAAUAUCACCAUAGAUGUACACUGGAUGUGAUUAAUUGAAUCAAUGAUUGGAGUCAUUAACAACAAACUCACUUUGAACUAAAUUUCAAGAGUUUAUUAAUCAAAAUUCACAUUAUUUGCAAACACAAGAAAGACACCUGUCCAGUAAAUUAUUUUGUUGUGAGGCUUUGCACUGAUCUUGGCAGCCACCUGUAAGUCUCAAUUCUUUUGGUAAGACUCAAAUUUAAAAAUUUGCAAAGUUAUGUUUAUCUUUACAGGAAAAAAAACUGCUAGGAACUAAAUAUAAAUUAUGGUAACUAUCCUAUUGGUCAUAUGCUAAGGUUCCAUCUGUAACCUUAAAAAUUAGAACCACAUUGAGUAACUUACAGCAAAUUAAUUAUGAGAAGGAUGCAGGAUGUCCAGUUUUUCAAUGUUCAGCUCUUGCAAAUUGGGGUGUGCUUCAUCACAGGCUAAGAAAAAUUAAUAUAAAUUAGUUGGUGGAACUCUUAGAAUUUAACUAGCAAAAUCUAAUACUUCAUGGCCCUAAGGAUAGCUUGUUAAAUGAUUACUUCUUAUCUUAGUGUACAAUGUACUUCUUUCAUAAAAAGUAAAAAAUAUUUCACUAAUGAACUCUUUGCGAGCAACAAUCAACAUCACGCUGCCACUCAACCUUACUACGUACUGUAGCUUUCUUAAAAUAACUAUAAAAUGUUUGUUUUUGAUUAACAAUCUCUUUUAAAACUUGUGCAGGAGAGAAAUUUAAUUUUCUUUGGGAGUCAGUAGUUAAAAACUAAUUUCCUUUUAGAUCCAUCUUCACCAUUUUAAAGUGCUUGGCAGCUUGAUGGUGGUUGUUUAAUUUCAUAAGCAAGGGAAAAUUUUUAAUUAUAAAUUGAACAAUCUCAAUGUACACUUAGUAAAGUGGAUCUGCAAGCUCAUUAGCACAAACUUUAACUAUUGCUAGCCAAAAAUAUUCACUUAUCUCAAGCAAAACAGCAUUUCUAACUGUAAGCAAGGUUAGUUCAUGCCAUCUUUUUUACCUUCUUGUCUACAUCAUUGAUUACUUUCAAGACUUACCAGAAGUUUCGUUAAAUAAAUGCAAAUGUUCUUGGCCUUAAGCCAGAAAAUAUGACACCACCUGCUUGUAGGAAAGUUUUUGAGAGUCAGUCUUACUGAAAACAAAAUGUUAUCAGAAUUUAGAAUUAAGCAAAAUUUAAUUUGAAGGUCUUCAUUUUAGGUUUGUUUUAGAAUUGGGAUAUUUUCAGUUUCGAAAGUGUUACUUUCAUUUUGUCUUCAAUCUCUCAAUUUUUUGUUCCAGUUUUCUUGACUAGCAAUGAUAUUUAAUAUUAAUGUUAAGCACAUUUAGAUCAACAGUCUGCAUUUUACCUUAUUUCUAAGUUCCUAUGUUUUUUUGUUUAUUUAGAAACAAAUCUUGAUUCCCUCACAUCAGUAUAAACAAACAUUUUACAUCCUCAUCAAGAACUACACAAUGCAGAUUGUUGGUGAAAACCAAUGUAUAUUAACUUGCUUAAUGCACUAGUUUCUUGGUUCUUUCUUAGUGUUGCAAUGAAGGUUCUCUAAGGUUUCCUUUAAACUUUUUCAGUGAUUUCCCUGUUGCUCCAAAAAAUUCUCAGAAUUUAUCAGGACUACACUCCUGGGCUUUCUCGGUUGCUCCAAAAAAUUCUCGUGAUUUUUUAGGACAAGAAAUUCUUUUUAUGCUCAGUACCCUGAAUGCAGCCUGCUCGUGGUUAAGGUUUCUGGCUUUUUUUUUCUGGACUUCCAUCACUUAGAAAGAACCAAGUUUUUUCUAUAUUAGUCUAUUGAUAAUGCUAAUGAGCUUGCAUGUAUCUACUAAUUAAGUUGUUAGGAUCUUAUUUAAUUCCAGGACAGAAGGUGGCACACACAUCAAGACCAAAGAUUGGUCAUAUUCAAAUCUAGCCAAUCACGUCCCUGCUGGGUUGU